GAUGAACGCUGGCGGCGUGCCUAAUACAUGCAAGUCGAGCGAACAGACGAGGAGCUUGCUCCUCUGACGUUAGCGGCGGACGGGUGAGUAACACGUGGAUAACCUACCUAUAAGACUGGGAUAACUUCGGGAAACCGGAGCUAAUACCGGAUAAUAUAUUGAACCGCAUGGUUCAAUAGUGAAAGACGGUUUUGCUGUCACUUAUAGAUGGAUCCGCGCCGCAUUAGCUAGUUGGUAAGGUAACGGCUUACCAAGGCAACGAUGCGUAGCCGACCUGAGAGGGGGAUCGGCCACACUGGAACUGAGACACGGUCCAGACUCCUACGGGAGGCAGCAGUGGGGAAUCUUCCGCAAUGGGCGAAAGCCUGACGAAGCAACGCCGCGUGAGUGAUGAAGGUCUUCGGUUCGUAAAACUCUGUUAUUGGGGAAGAACAAAUGUGUAAGUAACUAUGCACGUCUUGACGGUACCUAAGCAGAAGGCCACGGCUAACUACGU
rnacentral:rRNA from 1 species